rnacentral:rRNA from 1 species
AACGAACGCUGGCGGCAUGCCUAACACAUGCAAGUCGAACGGGAUCCUAGCUUGCUAGGUGAGAGUGGCGGACGGGUGAGUAACACGUGGGAAUCUGCCUUUUGGUUCGGGAUAACCGCGGGAAACUGCGGCUAAUACCGAAUGCCCUCGAGAGAGGAAAGAUUUAUCGCCAGAAGAGGAGCCCGCGUCCGAUUAGGUAGUUGGUGGGGUAAAGGCCUACCAAGCCGACGAUCGGUAGCUGGGUCUGAGAGGAUGAUCAGCCACACUGGGACUGAGAUACGGCCCAGACUCCUACGGGAGGCAGCAGU